CCUACAUAUGUUAAGACAAAUGUUUAACUAGCCCCCACCGAAAUUUAAUUCAGUUCUUGCGAGCGAUCAAAGCCCAACGCAAAAAAGAAAGCGAAGAUAUCGCUUUCUAUAUUUUCUAUCUAAACGAACUCUUCAAAUAAAAAAUAUUGAGAUAUCAGAGGGUGUGAAAGCCAAGACAAAGGCAAAGUUAGUAAUUGCCAAUGGUUGUUUAAUGAUCACGGCAAGGCAAAGAAGCCCUUUACACGUAUAAGGAUUCCCUCGCACUAAUAGCACGAUGCCGUUCAAAUGGCAUAAGACACAAUUCGGCCAUCGUGGGCUACGAUAGGCACAUGCUCUGAAUAGAUCUCAAGGAGCAAGGCUGAAUGAAGAAAGAUUCCCAAGGGAUCCUUUUCGUCCUUGGUUCACAGGCGAACAGGUACCAGGAGAGACCUGUAGCAGCCAACUGAGACCGAGAAAAAGUAUCUACAAUUCCAAGCACUUUUCCCAAAGCAUUAAAAAACAAUUACGGUUGAAUAUCAAGAUCGUCCAAGUCAUAAAAAAAGUUAACGUCAAUCAAAGUUAACGGACAGUAAAGUGGGUUUUCUGGAGUGAUUUUAUUACCUGUAAUUAAUUUUUUCUUCAGAAAUACCUUUGCAUGCACGUUAGAUACUACUGGUUACUUUCUGAAACAUUGAGUAAAGGCGAUCUUAUUAGCUAUUGUUUGCGGGCGAUAAGUGACAAAAAAAUAUGAAAAUAAAUUAGUUUAUUCACUUAGAGGUUGAAAAAAUCACAUUUCAUAAAAUAAUUUAACAUAAUCUUUCAGUGAUUAUGAAUCGGCCCGUCACACAGCUUGUAAGUGCAAAAAAUCUUGUACAAUUGAAACUACCAAAACACAAAUAAAAUCGGACGAGAACUUGGGUAUUCUUAAAGAUCAAACCACAAGUUGGAGCUUCCGUGGAAGUGUCACGCUUCGCUUGAAUCCUGAAAGAUCCACUCGUCUUUCUGGGUUGUAUAGCUGGUAGUUAGAAGCAUAUGGUCUUACAUAAAGGGAUACCCGUGGAAAAUGGACUCUUUAAAAUGGCAUUUACAUCUACAGGUGGGAAACUCUCUAAACAUUCCUCACAGCUUCUUCCCGAGGGGGGACUGUGCAAGUACAAAAAAGGCUAUACAAGGACCUUCGUACGCAUCGUCUGAAAAUCUAGACGUCUAGCUACCUUAGAUCCUCUGUCCUUUUUUAUAUCUCAUCUCAGAUUCAACGCAACGAGAAAAGAUUUGAAAAUUUGCGUAAAAUCAGUUUGUCCAGUAAAAUCGCCAAUCAAAAUUUACUUGAACGCGAUAUAAGAUCAGCCUUAAUGUUUCAAUUUGUUCAGCCCGGAGCAUAAAUUAAACGAUACAAAUUUGACGGUGCUUUCUUUUGACCGAUUUUCAACAUUGCGCGAAGAAAACGGAAUGGGAAAGCGGAAAAUUAGCCCGAAAGAAAUAAGCAUAAGAAAAUAAAUACAAAAAGUGAAUUCGAAUUUUUAAAGACUUGGUAAAAUUCAUCGCAUGGGGCGAUAAGGUAGUAAACACUAUUGACGAUUGAACGAUGAAAAAUAAAUUACUCAAAAGAACAUGAAGUAGUUCAUGGGCUUACUGUAAGUAAGUAGAUUUUAAUAAGCUGUGAAAGUUAUGGUAAAAAGAAGGGAAAAGAAACAAGAAUACUUGAUCCUGAACAUGCAAGAGCAUUUAAGGGAGAAAUUUGUGUGUCUAUGUUUAUCAUCUUGUAAAGUUAUAGAGGAGGGCGACGACUGGUGUGUCUCAAGUAGCAGGUGACAAACAAAUCCUCUACCAUCCAAUCAGGGAAAUGCAACGAACGCGUGGAUUUCACGAGUUCUGACGCAAUUCUAGAUAUGCUCGUCAAAGUUUGUGCAAACUUUAGGACAGUCGUUGUUUAUUGACAUACAAGAACACCGUUCUGUAUAAAUUGUGAGAACAUCCUAGGAUAAGUCGGUGCGUUGCGCGCGACAAUUAAAAAGCUUUUCAAGGACCUUGUUCAGUAAAGCCCAAAAUUACAAUACCAGCGACGAGGUUUUCUAUUUGUUUGGAAGAUUUCCAAGCGGCACUAACACUCAGUCGCGCUUUUGUCCAUUCCGUCAUUAAAAAAAUGGAAACAUGGUUUUGCCGGCUGAUCCGGAAGAUACGCGAAGCGUGUCUAUGUGUAUAGUGAUGGGCCGAAAAUCACUUGUUGACUUUUACAGAGCUGAGCAAAGAGUUCACAGCUGCGUUACUGGGGAAAUUGAAUAGUAAUUGCGGCAAUUAGAUAUAACAAGGCCGACUUGUUUACUUAUAAAUCAGACUGGGAGUCUGAUGCGCUCCUCCAAAGGCAUGCGUCAGGUUCCUGACCAGAGGGAGAGCGCGCUCCUGCGCUUGUCAGCGAAGGUUUCAAUAACGCGAAGUUACAAGCGCCGAGCGUAUGAUUCUAGACUAUAGCUCUGUUGUUUUCUCUUCUGUCAAAUGCAUGAAGUCUUAUGCAUUCAUAAGACUUUAUUAUAUUGUUUGUACUCAUUUGCAUGAGAAGACCUUUUCACUAUCGGAUUGUCUGGACCAUUUAUAACUAGUAAUGACAAAUUUUUCGACUUUUUACAAAAGGACGGGGAAAGUUUUAUAAAAACCAAAUGCCUAUUGUUGUUUUCGUGGUGGUUAGCCUAAUUGGCUUGAGUAUUUACGAGAGACUUGCGUGUAAAGUUCAGGUUGCACAAUAUCCUUUUGAUAUAUUUCAACACCCAGAAACUUCAAUUAAUUACGUCAUGGCGCUUGGGUUUUAUCAUAACGUAAGGCUUUAUGUUAUAAAGAGUAAUAUAUAGUCAGUUUGCGUAUAGAUUUCACCAGUAAGCCCUAUAAAACCAUAAUCCCAUCACAGCUAAAAAUGUUUUUCUAUCAAUGUAUAUUUUGUGUAUUCUCUCAAUGAGGUAUUCCAUUUAAACUUCGCAUUUUUUCCUUGUUUACAAACCUAUCAGUCAAGUCGAACCCAUUUUAAAACGGUUACCCGUAGCUUCUCCUGUCCCAUUUCCCUCCCGGUAACGCUUCACAUUUUGAAAGUCGAGGCAAAGCUCGAGACCAAAUGACCGCAAACAAUUUUUAGCACGAGCGUAAUUAAACACCACACGAAAGCAAAGUUGGAACAUUUGACCCAUUUCUUACUUCCAAGCUCUCUGUGAUUGUAAAGACAAAAUUGAAACAAAUCAAGAAUGGUUACUUUAGCGACGAAGCCUUAGGCAGAGGUUUAUAAUUGUUCUUCGCCACCUCAAGCGUUCGGAUCGGUACGUGAAAGGAUUAGGGUUUUAUUGCUCGUCAGAAUACCAAUAGAGGUGAUAAUGAGCGCAAAAAGGCUUACUUGCUUAAUUUUUUUUUCUUUUAACGACUUUAACAGCUUUCAAAGGCAUUAGAAUGUUUUUGAUUUACAAAUAGGGAUCUUAACUAGAUAACCAUCUCUAAGAUUUUCCAAGUUAAAAGUUACACAUAAAUCCCCUAAAAUACGUUACCCUAGUUUGUAGAAAAGUUAGCAUUAAGAUGAUCCUAGACAAAUGA